UGGAUAGCUCAUUUGGUUAGAGUGUGGUGCUGAUAACGCCAAGCUUGCAGGUUCAAAGCCCCUUAUGGGACAG